AGCGAACGCUGGCGGCAGGCCUAACACAUGCAAGUCGAACGAACUCUUCGGAGUUAGUGGCGGAUGGGUGAGUCACACGUCGGAACGUGCCUUUUGGUUUGGAAUAACUCUGGGACACUUGUGCUAACAUCGAAUGUGCUCUUCGGGGGAAAGAUAUAUCGCACUUAGAGCGGCACGCGUGUGAUUAGCUGGUUGGUGAGGUAACGGCUCAUGACGGCGACGAUCAGUAGCUGGGCAGAGAGAAUGGGCAGCCACUCUUCGGCGCGGACGCGGCCGGGACUCCUACGGAAUGCGGGAAAGGCUGAUCUAGCGCAAUGGGCGAAGGCCUGACGCAGCCAGGCCGGUAGAAUGAUGAAGUUCUGAGGAAAGAAAAGUUCUUUCACCGGGGACUGCAAUGACGGUACCCGAAGAAGAAGCCCCGGCUAACUUCGUG
rnacentral:rRNA from 1 species